rnacentral:misc_RNA from 1 species
AAGUCGUAACAAGGUUUCCGUAGGUGAACCUGCGGAAGGAUCAUUAGUGAUUUGGCUCCGGCCUUAUUCUUGUCCAACCUCUGUGAACCGUGGCCUCCGGGCCGUAUUUUAAUCAUCAGUGUAAAGAAUGUAAACAUAUUAAACAAACAAAACUUUUAACAACGGAUCUCUUGGCUCUC